UUCUCCUGGAAACGGGUGGUAAUGCCGGAUGCUCCAGUUGAUCGCAUGGUCUUCUGGGAAAGCUUUCGCGGUAUGGGAUGGGGUCGCGUCCUAUCAGCUUGACGGCGGGGUAACGGCCCACCGUGGCUUCGACGGGUAGCCGGCCUGAGAGGGCGACCGGCCACAUUGGGACUGAGAUACGGCCCAGACUCCUACGGGAGGCAGCAGUGGGGAAUAUUGCACAAUGGGCGCAAGCCUGAUGCAGCGACGCCGCGUGAGGGAUGGAGGCCUUCGGGUUGUAAACCUCUUUUAUCGGGGAGCAAGCGUGAGUGAGUUUACCCGUUGAAUAAGCACCGGCUAACUACGUGCCAGCAGCCGCGGUAAUACGUAGGGUGCAAGCGUUAUCCGGAAUUAUUGGGCGUAAAGGGCUCGUAGGCGGUUCGUCGCGUCCGGUGUGAAAGUCCAUCGCUUAACGGUGGAUUCGCGCCGGGUACGGGCGGGCUUGAGUGCGGUAGGGGAGACUGGAAUUCCCGGUGUAACGGUGGAAUGUGUAGAUAUCGGAAAAGAACACCA
rnacentral:rRNA from 1 species